AGUGAACGCUGGCGGUAGGCCUAACACAUGCAAGUCGAACGGCAGCACAGUAAGAGCUUGCUCUUACGGGUGGCGAGUGGCGGACGGGUGAGGAAUACAUCGGAAUCUACUUUUUCGUGGGGGAUAACGUAGGGAAACUUACGCUAAUACCGCAUACGACCUACGGGUGAAAGCAGGGGAUCUUCGGACCUUGCGCGAUUGAAUGAGCCGAUGUCGGAUUAGCUAGUUGGCGGGGUAAAGGCCCACCAAGGCGACGAUCCGUAGCUGGUCUGAGAGGAUGAUAAGCCACACUGGAACUGAGACACGGUCCAGACUCCUACGGGAGGCAGCAGUGGGGAAUAUUGGACAAUGGGAGCAAGUCUGAUCCAGCCAUACCGCGUGGGUGAAGAAGGCCUUCGGGUUGUAAAGCCCUUUUGUUGGGAAAGAAAAGCAGCAGGUUAAUACCCCGCUGUUCUGACGGUACCCAAAGAAUAAGCACCGGCUAACUUCGUG
rnacentral:rRNA from 1 species